rnacentral:lncRNA from 1 species
CUAUUUAGUUGUUUCUCUAACAUUUUUCGCACUUUCAUGUUGGACACAAGUGAACAACAUCACUCUCGAAAGUGAACGAGAGGUAGAUAACUAGUGAACUACAUCUCUAAAGAAGUAAACUUUAAGAUACUUUUCCUUUUUAUUGUUUUACCAAGUGAACCACAUAGUAUUUUUUUCACUGAGCCGUGACACAUUACACACACGUUCAACUCUGAAAAAUCAGCAAAAAAUGCUUCAUGCUUAUGGUGCACUCCACUGCAUUCCAGCAGAGAGAGCACCUGCAAAACGCACACAUCCAUCCACUAAACUGCAAAACACACAUGGGAUGUGGGAGGCUGCUUGUGGUGGCUCGCAAUCAUCUUUGUAUCAGCUCUUGAAACUCAUUGUCGACUUAACUAGAAGUGUGUGCGCUGCCGACCAACUCCAUGUGGUCCUCUUGCCGGCCACAUAACAAUUUUCAUCAUAGGCACACAACAUCCAGCAAACAGCCGAGCCGCACGCACGAGCAACCGAGAUGCACUCUGUCAUCGGCGAGCCACACUCCUGUCAUCGGGGAACUGCACCAAUGACCAACUCUGAAAAAUCAACAAAGAAACACGCUCGUCACUAGCGGCUUUAACAGCUGUGGGCCAGACUUUAGUGACCGAGGCUAUGGAACUCAUGCCGUGAGGCAACGGACUGCAUCCCGUGCCAACCGGACUGCCUUGCGCUAGAUAGUGCACCACAAAGCGAGUGCUCUAGGUCACCACGGCACCAGUGGUGCACGGUGAGAAUGAAGAAGGGCAGUCCAGCACACUGGACACCGCCUGGCCAAGGCCCAGGGCCCACUGCACUUUAUGCCCGCACCAGCUGUACUGCUUUGACACGCGCUUGCUCGCUACUGGCACCAUCGGACGCGUCAGGGGCCUUUGUGUUCUCCACUGCUUGCUAAUCGUCUCUGGCAGGGGGAAGAUAUAAGUUGGAGAAGAGGGAGGUAGUGGUAGGUUUAGAGCAAGAAGUGGAAGGCGCAAGCGCCCCUCUGCUGGAUCUGGUUGGAGGAGGAGGGAAACCAGGGGGCAUGCGGGGGUGAGAAGGGCUCUUGUUGGCCGGAUCUACCCAGGGAGGAGGGUCAAUGGAAGGGGAACAUGGGAUCAGUGCGUGCGUCACUCUAUAGAAGAGGGAACCGGUAAAGGGAGGAGGAGCCCACACACGCGCUGGAUCUGGUGCUCGCGAGGAGGGAAUGUGUGUAGGUCUGUUAGAUCCAUGGCGACGAUUCCAGGAUGUUCAGAUCCGAUCUUGGGAUGGACAAAUUAGAAGGUCGGAGGGGUGGGUGCAAGACGAGAAAAAUAUAGGUCACGACACGAGAAAAAAUGAAUUCAUUGUAUUUUUUACACUAUUUUUGUAUGUUCAUAAUUUAACGUUGAAACGAUCGAUAUGGUUGACUAGAGGGGAUGGGGUGAAUAAGCAACUACCAAAUUUUAGUUCUUAACAAAUUAGGGUUAGCAACAAAAAAGUUCUCUAGAUAAACAACUAGGUGAGCAACCUAUAUGAUUCUAACAACAACAACAACUAAUGCAACCUUUGCUAGAAGGGGUACAACCAAAC